AAGAGGGCAUUGAACUGUUGAAGGCAGCUAUAGAAAAGGCUGGAUACACUGGAAAGGUGGUUAUUGGAAUGGAUGUUGCUGCUUCUGAAUUCUUCAGUGAGAAGGAUAAGACUUAUGAUCUUAAUUUCAAGGAGGAAGUAAGAAUUGCAACUUCUUAUUAAGCCUUUUAUUUACUUAUAGCUGUUCUUUAUGCUGUUACUUCUUGCCAUUUGAGCUGAUAGAUCUGUGUCAUUGAUUUACUUCAUAUUUACCAAUGUUCAUUUCUUUAUUCUAGCGGAUUGCCCCUUUUGAGUUAAAUUCCAUGUUCCAUCCACUUCUAAAGGCAUUAGCUGAAUAUGGAAAAGAUGUCUUGGGCAUUAGUUGGGAUGGAGGAGUAUUUCAUUGCAAGUUAACUUUUGAGUGCAAAAGAAUUAGCUUACGAUGUUGUUGCCUUUCAUGCCUAUGAUAUAUGAGCUCAGGCAUAUGUAAAAAGUAAUUCUGUACAUGUUUAAUGCAUGCCAUAUUAUAUAACACCUGGUUUGCUGAUUCUACAAAAAUGGUUGGUUCCAUCCUAAUUUUCACUAUCUGACUCUGCUGAUAGAUUCUAUAUAAAGGCCUCGGUUCAGAUCAUUAUCAAGCUUGUCUCUUCUUUUAUGUUGAGACUUUAGAGGGCUUAGUGAUUCACAAAUUAAGAUGACUAGCUUGACUGUUUUCAGGUCUUAAAAGCCAAUUAUUUCCAAGAAAAAGAAGAGCUGACAGAUGCGGUAUGGAAGAACUUUUUCAAAGGCAAGCUUGCCUUCAUGCAUUGAAGCAAACAUGAUAAAGCUAUGGCCGUCCUCACAGCCGCAGCUGGAGGAACCCUCCUUAUCAUAAAGCUCGACAAUUUAACUCCCAGACAUGGUGAGGAGCGAAGUAAUAGAAGCUGGAAGGCUAGUGAACCUGUGGAAUGAAUGGGGGAUACAAAUCCUGGUCCUUGUAAGCUUCUCGUUGCAAGUAUUCCUCCUUGUCUUUGGAGGGAUCCGCAGACGUAGCUCCUCCAGCAUUCUGAUGUUCUUCCUCUGGUCGGCAUAUCUGUUGGCCAACUCCACGGCGAUAUACAUCCUGGGCCAUCUAUCAGUGGACAGCAGGUCAGAUGAGCACGAGCUGGUAGCAUUCUGGGCACCGUUCCUCCUCCUGCUGAUAGAUUCUAUACUUAGGCUGAGAUAAGGCUGAGAGGUGAUUGUAUGGACUCUUUUGUUUAAUCUCGAUGUAUGAGCUCAUAUGGUUGAAUUCUGCUGCUAUAAUUAUAUAUUAUAUAUGUUAUACAAAUGAUGCAAUAUUAUUAUAUGAAAAUAUUUUUUUUAUGGGAAAAA